rnacentral:rRNA from 1 species
CCUACGGGUGGCAGCAGUAGGGAAUCUUCCACAAUGGGCGAAAGCCUGAUGGAGCAACGCCGCGUGGGUGAAGAAGGUCUUCGGAUCGUAAAACUCUGUUGUUAGAGAAGAAAGUGCGUGAGAGUAACUGCUCACGUUUCGACGGUACCUAUCCAGAAAGCCACGGCUAACUACGUGCCAGCAGCCGCGGUAAUACGUAGGUGGCAAGCGUUAUCCGGAUUUAUUGGGCGUAAAGGGAACGCAGGCGGGCUUUUAAGUCUGAUGUGAAAGCUGUCGGCUUAACCGGGGUAGUGCAUUGGAAACUGGGGGACUAGAGUGCAGGAGAGGGGUGUGGAACUCCAUGUGUAGCGGUGAAAUGCGUAGAUAUAGGGAAGAACACCAGUGGCGAAGGCGGCUGUCUGGUCUGUAACUGACGCUGAGGUUCGAAAGCGUGGGUAGCAAACAGGAUUAGAUACCCCAGUAGUC